UACGUAGGGGGCAAGCGUUGUCCGGAAUCAUUGGGCGUAAAGAGCGUGUAGGCGGCUUGGUAAGUCCGCUGUGAAAGUCCAGGGCUCAACCCUGGAAAGCCGGUGGAAACUGUCAAGCUUGAGUCCGGAAGAGGCGAGUGGAAUUCCUGGUGUAGCGGUGAAAUGCGCAGAUAUCAGGAGGAACACCAAUGGCGAAGGCAGUGUCCUGGGGAGUACCUGACGCUCAGGUGCGAAAGCCAGGGGAGCGAACGGG
rnacentral:rRNA from 1 species